GACGAACGCUGGCGGCGUGCCUAAUGCAUGCAAGUCGCACGGAGUGCUUCGGCACUCAGUGGCGCACGGCUGAGUAACACGUGGGAAUCUGCCCAUCGGUGGGGGAUAACGGCGCGAAAGCGCGGCUAAUCCCGCAUACGCCCGCAAGAGGAAAGCGGUAACGCGUCGAUGGAUGAGCCUGCGGCCCAUCAGGUAGUUGGUCGGGUAAUGGCCUACCAAGCCGAUGACGGGUAGCUGGUCUGUGAGGACA
rnacentral:rRNA from 1 species